rnacentral:rRNA from 1 species
GACAGAGGUGCCGAGCGUUAGGCGGAAUCACUGGGCUUAAAGCGUGUGUAGGUGGAUGCCUAAGUACCUUGUGAAAUCCCACGGCUUAACCGUGGAACUGCUUGGUAUACUGGGUGUCUUGAGCCAGCUAGGGGCUACCGGAACAAAUGGUGGAGCGGUGAAAUGCGUAGAUAUCAUUUGGAACGCCAAUGGUGAAAACAGGUAGCUGGGGCUGUGCUGACACUGAGACACGAAAGCCAGGGGGGCGAACGGG